rnacentral:rRNA from 1 species
UAGAGUUUGAUCCUGGCUCAGGAUGAACGCUGGCGGCGUGCCUUAAGCAUGCAAGUCGGACGGGAAUGAGUCGCAAGAUUCAAACCAGUGGCGGACGGGUGAGUAUAAGCAAGGAACGUACCCUUCACUGUGACAUAGCUCGUCGAAAGACGGGGUAAUAUCGCAUGAUCCCGCAAGGGUAAAGGAGGUAACACUCCGGUGUUGGAGCGGCCUUGUGCCUAUCAGCUAGUUGGUGGGGUAACGGCCUACCAAGGCUUUGACGGGUAGGGGGUGUGAGAGCACGACCCCCCACAAUGGCACUGAGACACGGGCCAUACAUCUACGGAUGGCAGCAACUGGGAAUAUUCGGCAAUGGGCGAAAGCCUGACCGAGCGACGCCGCGUGAGGGAUGAAGUAUCUCGGUAUGUAAACCUCUUUUGCCAAGCUCACGAGGCUUGGCGAAUAAGCAUCUACAAACUACGUGCCAGCAGUCGCGGUAAUACGUAGGAUGCAAGCGUUAUCCGGAUUCACUGGGCGUAAAGUGUAGUGUAGGUGGUUUGUCGCAUCGUACUUGAAAUGCCGAGGCCCAACCUCGGAACUGGGUACGAGAUGGAUAGACUAGAGGGUAUGAGAGGGAAGGGGAACAGAUGGUGAAGCAGUGAAAUGCGUUGAUAUCAUCUGGAACACCGAAGGCGAAGGCACCUUCCUGGCAUGCUCCUGACACUGAGACACGAAAGCUAGGGGAGCGAAGCAGAUUAGAGACCUGCGUAGUCCUAGCCCUAAACGCAUGCCUGCUAGAUGGUCGUCCCGCAUUUUUGCUAAAAAAUUAGCAAAAGCGCGGGAUGACUGUCGUAAGCUAACGCGUUAAGCAGGCCGCCUGGGGAGUACGAUCGCAAGAUUAAAACUCAAAGGAAUUGACGGGGACCCGCACAACCGGUGGAGCGUGUGGUUCAAUUCGAGACAAAGCGAAGGACCUUACCAGGUUUUGACAUGCUACCGUUUAGUACUCUGGAAACAGGGAAUGAUCCGCAAGGAUGGUAGCACAGCUGCUGCAUGGCUGUCGUCAGCUCGUGCCGUGGGGUGUUCCCUUAAGUGGGAGAACGAGCGCAACCCGUAUCCAAUGUUAUAUGUUUCAUUGGAGACCGCCCCCGAAUUUUGCCCGCGAAUAAUUUCGUUGGUAAAAUUCGGGGGAGGAAGGGACGGACGACGUCAAGUCAGCACGGCGCUUAUAACCUGGGUCACACACACCCUACAAUGGCGAAUAACAAUGGGACGCAAGCCGGCAACGGUAAGCAAAUCCCCACUAAAUUUCGCCUCAGUUCAGAUUGGGGUCUGCAACCCGACCCCAUGAAGUCGGAAUCGGUAGUAAUCGCAGAUCAGCAGGCUGCGGUGAAUACGUUCUCGGGUCUUGUACACACCGCCCGUCAAGCCAACAAAGUUGGAGGCGGCCGAACCCCGACUCAGUCGGGGGAAGCCGAAUUCAGCGAUGGGGACUAAGUCGUAACAAGGUAACC